UGGAGCGCCAGCUUAGAGCAUUGGUGUCAUGGGUUGGCACAAGAUCGGUGUUCAGAGAAGUGAGAGAAUUGAAAAUAUCUCCUUAGUUUUAUAUGAACCUGAUGCCUUGUAGGUUACAAAGGACAAGUAGCCAGUUGGUGGUGAUGCUAGCUCUGAAUUUGACUCCAUAUGUUUGAAGCUAAAAUAAGUGUUUUAUAACAAGCCUCGUCCAUUCCAACUAGUGCGUGACCCUAUCAGAGCUGCGUCUUAGACAUAAAUCCUUUUGGAUUCUUUGCCAUCUAAGCCAGGUAUGUUACUGUUCCCCCCACAUCAUUUCCUGAGUGGUUGGUACUGAAUUAAAGACUUGAUUCACAAGGAUGGGAAAAGAAUAGAUGACUGUAGCAGACAUAAUGUUUUUAAGCACAAAUUAGUAACUGGCAUGCCCGAGAGUUUAUAGGAAGUAACUGUUUAUAGUGGUGAAAUAAAUUUGUAUGGUCUCCAAAGCUUUGGCAGAACCAAGCCCCGAAGUCCCUCUGUGUGAAUUUCCCUGACUUGUGUUUGAUUUAGAUUGUAUCUUUCAUUUAAAUAUUACCAGAGGCAAAGAAUUUGUGGGCAAUCCAGGGAAAUUGUCCAUGUGAUUGUUCCCCAUCACUGCUGGAAAUUCUUGCUUCUGCUCUGGACAGGCCUGCUAAUGACAGCUUCCAGCUAUGGCAUCUCUCCUGCCUUUGUCUCGUGGAUCAUCAAACUUUUACUCCCAACCAGAAAUCAGCUCAGUCCACAGCCAUCUCUUUAAGAGACUGAAGAGGCUGAAAUCUUGCAGUCUGUCACCAAAAGGCAUCCUAUUCCAGUUUGUAAGCACUAGUAUGCACAUUUUCCUUAUUUCAUCUGCACCUUAUCUGUUGGUCAGUGCUGCCUGUGCCAGACAUGAACAUGGUAUUCCAGCUGUAAUAACACUAAACCCAAAUAUAGAUGUGAUGCAGCUUAUUUUGCUGAUGCCACAUUUAAGAAGCUGUUUAUCCCUCUCAGAUACUAUGAAGUCUGGAAACUCAGGUUCAGCUGUGACUUUCUUGCUGUUUUCAGUAUCUCCGACCCUUCGGCUCCAUGCACGUAUCCCCUAUUCUAAAACUAUGCUUUAUUAUUCCUACAGUAUGAUUUUUAACUUGGGUCAUACUCAAACAUGCAUUGCUUACCUGAAUGCAAUUUUGCCAACUGGUUUGCUCCACACCAGUGGCAUGUUCUUUAAUUUCCACCCCUUCUCUCUGUCUUGGUGCCAUCUGCAGAACUCAGUAGUAAUCCUUUUGUUUGUUGAUAGUCCUUGAUAAAAUACCAGUUGGCGCAGAUAAAGAACUGACUGAGCAGGGUUACAGGAACAUUUUUUUUCUGUUAAAAAGUUGUUGAUAAGUAGAUGCCACCUUGAAAAUUCACACCGUGCACUAGCCAUCCUAGGGUGGGAAAGGGCUAGAGAGAAAAUAAACAACUUGGACCAAACCCAGCUGAUUACCAGGGUCUGCCAGCAGGCAAAGGGAAGGGGUGCAAGGACCGAGGCAUGGAUAAAUGGUUACAGGGGGACACUGAGCCAAACAUCCCAGGGUGGCACCCAGGGAGCAGUACCUGCUGCCUGCGGUGCCCAAGCACCCUUCCAGGAACACUGUGGUGCUGUGUCAGGGAUGAUUAGUUCAACAACCAUUUUAUAUGUGUCACGUUGAGUUGAUAUUGUUCCGGUUUCUUAAUCAACAUGUCCUGCUGCAACAAGUUGAAGGCCUUAAAGAAGUCCAGGAGUUUUACAUCAGCUUCGUUGCAUGUAUCACUUGAUCUUGUAAUCUCCUUGGUGAAAGAUAAGUCAGUUUGAAAGGGUCUCUUCCCAUAAACUCUUGUUGAUUGGCAUUAAUUAUAUCUCCCUCCUUUAAUUCUUUGUUAAUCUAGAUCCGUAUGAGUCAUUCCAUUUUACUGCUGGGACUCGUGUCAGGAGACAAGCCUAUAAAUACUUAGAUCUUUCUCUCUACCUUUUCCAAAAUCUUUCCCAACAUCUGCUUUCCUUCAGAGCUUCCCCACUGCCCAGAAAGUUACUGGGGAUCACACAUAGCUGUCGUACUGUGCUUGUGCAUUGAAAACAUCCUUGCUAAUCAGCGUGACAAAGCCAGCUGCAUUAUAUAUGCUACUGAAAAAAGGGGUUUUGAACAAUGAAUUAGCUCUACAAUCAUAAACUACCUUUGCAAAAUCAUGGGAGGAAAUAUUUCAUUUGCAUGUUUAUUUCGAGUUUCUAUCACAACCUACACAACUAUGCCUACAAAGGGCCUUUUUUAAAUGCAUGGAUGAUUUAAAAAAGGGGAUUUAUAGAAGACCAGCCAGAGAGAUGCACAGCAGAGAUGGGUUUCAUGUACCGUUCCCAGCAUGGUGCUACACAGCACCUUUGUUCUAGUGGUAAACUACCUUUUGCCUUCCAUUCUCCUCAAACAAUGACUGAAACCCAGGAAAUGGACAAACAGUGCCAUACUUAUUACUGUUACUGUAGAUGUGUACUAAUAUAAUCACUUUUUGUUUGUUUGUUUCAGAACAUCAAGGAGAUGACAAAUAACAUAUUUGGGCUUGUUUAAUAGCAAAAGAUGAGUUGCUGGUUUGAAAAUAUUUGCUAGAAGGUCAGUAGCUUCAAAUUGAAUUGGAAAAAUUCCAGAUUAAUGCUGUUGCCCCAGUACUGAUUAGAAUUCACAUCGCAUAAGACCAUAAAAACACUUUUGGAGAGGGAGAGGAUGUUUUAUCAUCUAAGCAUAGGGCAGUUUUAAAGAUGUGUAGAAGAACAAAAUUAAUUAGGGGUAUUUUAAUAUUAUCAAAAUAAAAAGAAGGAAUUAGGACUGUAUUAAUUUAAUUUCAAACACAUAGGUAAUAACCUCAACUCCUGUGUUCGUCUGCAUCUGUGUUUAUCUGAACAGGUAUCUGAAAUUGCUGGUGAGCACCAGGUUCCUCCUGGCUGUCUCUGCAUGAGCCUGGCUGGCACUCCCUGCAGGGAGGACAUGCACCCAGCUCAGGCUUUGGAGGAACAGGACAUCUUCAUCCCAAUAUACAUGGUACUUCUCCUGGGACUUAUUGGACCAAAGUCUCUUUUCACUGUUCAUGGAAACACCAUUGGAGUGGCCACUGCUGGGAGCAGAGGAGGCAGGCAGCCAUAGGAACCCACUUGCCUGGGUUGUGCUGCACUGGGGGCUCUGCACCCCUGCCCUGCCCUCACUGAAUACUCACUUUGCUAUCUACCUUCUCCCUGGCCUCUUUACUACUCUGGCAACAGAGGGAUAAGUCUUGCUGGCAGGAUAUCCCCUUGCAAAUACAGAAUCUCAUUGAGCUAAUCAAUAAUUCCUGUCAUUGCCUAAAGUUGCUAAAAGUAACAUUCCCUUCCCUAUUUACAGGAGAUGCUGAAUCUGGAGUUGGUACUAUUAACACCUUUAACAUUUCUCCCAUUAAGAUUUUCUGCCCAUAAAAGGCUUUUCAUAGUUUCUGUUGGUUCUGGUUUUACUUUCUUUCAUGGCUACUGAAGCUUGAGCCACCUGGACUUUGAGGGGUCAGCCCUUUAAAUUUGUUUUAAAACUCACAGUAAUUACAGAGUUUUCAAUCUGAUUCUGAAAAGCAAAUAAUAUUGAAGAGAAGCAUGGGGGUAUGACUUUGGAUGCUUUAGGAACCUUUUUCAUUUACCCCUUUUUUCAGUAGCAAGAUGAAAAAAAAAAGAGAGAGGGGCAAAACACCCAUGGAAAAAAGCCACCAAUAAUUUUUUAUAUAAAACUUCUCUAAGACAUAUUGAACAAAGGCAAGGUUCCUCCUUCUGGAAACCAGCAGAAUGGAGAGGACUGGGUAGAUUUUUAAAGAUUCAGUAAAUGCUUGCUAAUAUUUCUCAAAGAGCUUUCACUGAAAGCACUUUACUGUUUCUACAUUAGCAGGUGAAAUGGUUUCAACCCCAGUAAGCAGGGAGAUAGGAGCAGUGCUGUUUCAUGCUGCCUUGCCCUGGGAAGGGAAAGGAAGGGUGGCAUCAGAGGGGCUGGGACCAAGUGGGCACUGGGAAGCUUCCCAGGGGAGAGGAGGAAGGUAACACACAUGUGGGACACAAAGGAAGAUCUGACAGACUGGAAAAACAUACGGAUCUGAGGGAUGGGGAAAGAGCUAGCGGAUGGAAAAACAUGUAGGCACUAACUCUGGGAGAAUUUUCCUUUUCAGUAAACCUGCUCCUCUAAAAAGGAGGAGCGAACUGAGAGGCCAUAUUAGGUCCCAUGCUGCAUAUAGUCCUGGAUGGUUUGAGUUCUUGUUUCCUAAUACUACCUGGCUUCAGUGAAUAUUGCAGUUGGUUACUGAGGGGAUGAGCCCCUGUGACACCCUUUAAGAGAAGGAAAACUGUUCUGCCUCCUUAUGUGAAGCAGAUGACUUGCUUUGGCACUUGUCCCCAAGGGACAUUGCUGAAGGUCUGAAGCGUCACCUCUCAGAACCACCUGAGAGCAAGCCUGGCUCACUUGGGGCUGAAGUCUGACUGCAGUGAAUUGAGUGGGGAUGUUUGGAGGACGUUAAAGGGCUCCUUUAGUGGGUCUGCUCGUUAAAUGAAGACGUGUUGUUUCCAUAGGUCUGUGAUUGCUCCAUGUUUGCCAUCCGCUGCCAUGUCCCAUCACCCCCUCUAUGGCAUUGUGUCCUUGGACUUCAGGAUCUCUCCCAGGGCUUUUUAGGAAGACCCAGCACAGACUGGGAGAGGACUUGGGAAAUGCACUCUGUCCUCAGCAGGUAGCAGUGUGGGGCAGGCACAGCCAAUGCACCUCAGCAGUACUGACAAAUGCUGUGUAAGCAUCCAUACAUUCACACCCAUAUGUUUAUGUCUGUCUGCGUGUGCAUGCAUAUAAACAGGAAACCACCUUCUGCUCCUUUCAUAACAGACCCUUCUGGAUUCUCUAAGUGUGAUGCGCACUCCCCUUGGGAAUCCAUGGAGGCUGUAAUGUAUAACAGAGAAGGAUUUAUCAUGAUCUCUGAUGUGAACCUAGAGAAAAGACUAGUACUGUUUUCUAAGUAGUGCAUUGGGUUUGGGUUCAGCUAUGUUGCUUUUAAUAUUUUAUGUAUGUGAAUGUGAUGUACUGUAAUGAAAACACUCUUGUAUCUUUUUCUAGGAAGUGCAUCUUUCAAAACAAGGAACGAUGUCAAAUGAUGGAGAGGAGCUUUAGGUCUGGAAGGCACAAGAAAAUGCAUAAAAGAUGAAGUCCUAUUUAUGUUUCUCGCAUGCAUGAAAAAAAAAAAACCCAGUCAAAAACCAACCCACCUACAUUAAAGAAAUGCUAUUCAAGCUACAAAGUAAA